rnacentral:tRNA from 1 species
GCGGAUGUGGCGAAACUGGUAAACGCAAGGGACUUAAAAUCCCUCGUCUUCAAUGACUUGCGGGUUCGAUCCCCGCCAUCCGCA